rnacentral:rRNA from 1 species
ACGAACGCUGGCGGCGUGCCUAAUACAUGCAAGUUGAGCGCUGAAGGUUGGUACUUGUACCAACUGGAUGAGCAGCGAACGGGUGAGUAACGCGUGGGGAAUCUGCCUUUGAGCAGGGGACAACAUUUGGAAACGAAUGCUAAUACCGCAUAAAAACUUUAAACACAAGUUUUAAGUUUGAAAGAUGCAAUUGCAUCACUCAAAGAUGAUCCCGCGUUGUAUUAGCUAGUUGGUGAGGUAAAGGCUCACCAAGGCGAUGAUACAUAGCCGACCUGAGAGGGUGAUCGGCCACAUUGGGACUGAGACACGGCCCAAACUCCUACGGGAGGCAGCAGUAGGGAAUCUUCGGCAAUGGACGAAAGUCUGACCGAGCAACGCCGCGUGAGUGAAGAAGGUUUUCGGAUCGUAAAACUCUGUUGGUAGAGAAGAACGUUGGUGAGAGUGGAAAGCUCACCAAGUGACGGUAACUACCCAGAAAGGGACGGCUAACUACGUG